CCUACGGGAGGCAGCAGUCGAGAAUCAUUCACAAUGGGGGAAACCCUGAUGGUGCGACGCCGCGUGGGGGAAUGAAGGUCUUCGGAUUGUAAACCCCUGUCAUGUGGGAGCAAAUUAAAAAGAUAGUACCACACGAGGAAGAGACGGCUAACUCUGUGCCAGCAGCCGCGGUAAUACAGAGGUCUCAAGCGUUGUUCGGAAUCACUGGGCGUAAAGCGUGCGUAGGCUGUUUCGUAAGUCGUGUGUGAAAGGCGCGGGCUCAACCCGCGGACGGCACAUGAUACUGCGAGACUAGAGUAAUGGAGGGGGAACCGGAAUUCUCGGUGUAGCAGUGAAAUGCGUAGAUAUCGAGAGGAACACUCGUGGCGAAGGCGGGUUCCUGGACAUUAACUGACGCUGAGGCACAAAGGCCAGGGGAGCGAAAGGGAUUAGAUACCCCUGUAGUC
rnacentral:rRNA from 1 species